UUAGUUCGUGGAGUGAUCUGUCUGCUUAAUUGCGUUUCAAAUUUUUAACCGAGGACCGGGUUUUGGUUUGGCUAGUGGUCCUACGAUGACUGUGAACUGUCAUGUCUUCGGAUGUACGACUAUCGGUCUAGGAUCACAUGACUUGCCCCUGGGACUCUUUUGAACGCAACGGACGUGAUUGCAACCCCUUGUUGAGAUUAGAGAUAGUCUCGAUAUUCACUGGCCAAACUGGCUGCUUUAUGCAGUCUUGUUGAAUGGUGGAUAAACUCGGGGGACUGCUGACUAUAACCAUUUCUCAAAACAGAGGAAGGUUGCGGCAAUAACAGGUCUGUGAUGCCCUCAGAUGUCCCGGGCUGCACACGUGCUACAAUGAGUGGCGCAAUGUGCUAAUGUUUUAAGGGAUAAGCGUGCGGCCAGUAGAACGUCGGCAAUUGCCCUGGCGUCUUCUACCGCACGAUUAUCAGCCUUCCCUUAACAGGGCGGGCAACCUUUUCAAAAUACCGGUUUGAUGUUAAAGUAUAGAGUCGUUUUUUUUGGAUGGUGGUUUACGAACCAAUACCAUCCGCAACUGCUCGCGAGUUUGUGGUUCUGGUGACUCAUGGUGGG
rnacentral:rRNA from 1 species